CGUCAUUCAAUACCAGGAGUGCCUAAUCAUCCAUCAUCCAUUCGUGCAAUCAGUAAGCAUUUACGGAACAUGUACCUGCGCUUCCUCCUGUCCUGGGCCCUGGAGGCAAAGCAGUUUGGGCCUCUGCCCUAACAUGGAUCACAUUCUUGUGGAGAAGCUGGGGAGGAAAUGGAAAAUUACGGUGGAGCGUGUUGAGAGCUGCAGCAGGCACACAGCUUGUGUGCACAUACUCUGCCCUGGGGAUGACGGAUGGAGAAAUUCCGCAGGGGAGGUGCUAUGCUGCUGCUGCUGCCGCUGCUGCGUGGCUUCAGUUGUGUCCGACUCUGUGCGACCCCAGAGACGGCAGCCCACCAGGCUCCCCUGUCCCUGGGAUUCUCCAGGCAAGAACUCUGGAGUGGGUUGCCAUUUCCUUCUCCAGUGCAUGAAAGUGAAAAGUGAAAGUGAAGUCGCUCAGUCGUGCCCGACUCUUCGCGACCCUAUGGACUGCAGCCUACCAGCCUCCUCCGUCCAUGGGAUUUUCCAGGCAAGAAUACUGGAAUGGGGGGGGCCAUCGCCUUCUCCGGGGAGGUGCUAUAGAGAAGGAAUAAUCCCCUCUAGAGUGGAGAAAGUCCCGAGUAAUCCUUCAGAAAAAGUGGCAGCUGACCUGGGAAACGCUGCGAUUCGGCGGGGUCAGGCAGAGCAAGGCAUCAGGCCAUGUGCCGUGGGCUGGCAGAAGUGGAGAAGCUCAGUAAGUGAUGUCGUGAUGUGCUGGAAAACAGAAAGCCUGCUGUCAAUUUCAUAAUGAAGCAAAAGCGCCUGUUAUGAGUCGUAUCCUUUUGUGUCCAAAUGCAGGGACCAGAGCCUCUAAGUCUGCCCUUGGGGCAUCUCUUCUCUUGCCUUUUGGCUCUUUAACUUCUGUGCCAUAAUUAACCCCUUUUUGUGCCACCUCCUCUUCAGUUACAC
rnacentral:lncRNA from 1 species